UAGCCAUGUUUCCCAAAGGUGGACACACCUGGAAACAUUGUUUCCUAGCCAUGUUUCCCAAAGGUGGACACACCUGGAAACAUUGUUUCCUAGCCAUGUUUCCCAAAGGUGGACAAACCAGGAAACAUUGUUUCCUAGCCAUGUUUCCCAAAUGUGGACAAACCAGGAAACAUUGUUUCCUAGCCAUGUUUCCCAAAGGUGGACAAACCAGGAAACAUUGUUUCCUAGCCAUGUUUCCCAAAGGUGGACAAACC